UUGUAAGCCCCGCCCCUUUUUUGCUUUCAGAUCGCGUCUCAGUUCAGAGGAGAGAUGCAGAGCGACAGAGACACUCGAUCUAACGCGAGAGGGUUUAAUUUGAUUAAAUAUGACUCCUAAGUUCAUAUAAACUGAAGAAAUCAGAAUUUAACUUGCAUAUAUUCAAUGAUACAGCGUGAUUGUGUGGAUUGAGAACUUUUUGAGCUUUCAUUUUGACCUGUGUGAUUAUGUAAAACCACAUGGUGCGUUGUGUUCACUGCUGUUCGCUGACGCCAUUUUGGUUGCACGUGCCUGUGAAAGACAAAAAGAGAGAGAAACACGUGAAUGGACAGGUAUUUGUCUAAAUUGUCAUUUAUUAUGAUGAUGGCACUUAUGUAUUUUAUUUGUUUCCUGUAUGUACAAUUGUUAAUCAUUAUUGAUAGACAAUAUUGAAUGUUUUUUCCUUUCGUAUGAACAUUCCUUGAGCUGGAUUUUCCUAAUUGAUGGCGAGCUUCCAUUUCGACCUGAUUGGAUCACGAAUCUAGAAGGACAAUUUUCUAUUUUAAAUAUUUUUCUUCAGACAAGUAAGAGGAUACAUUUCAGAAACUGUUUUCUUAUUUUGUUUGUUUACUUUAUUGAACUGAAACAUUUCAGAAGCACAAUUCUGAUAAUUUAAGACUGAUCAAUACUCCAAUUGAUAAGAACUUUGAACUUGAAUACUGAUUUCAGUGUGUUACAUAUAUAAUUUGUACCAUCUUUGUACAUUGAUUGUGACUGUGAUUUCUGUAAAUGAGAAGUAAUUUAGAGCGUGCACCCAUAGUAUAUAUAGUUAAUUGUAUUUUCAUUGUUGUUACUAUUUUUUGUGAUUAAGGAAAGAAAUAGAAAGGUUUCUCAAUACUCAAAGUAAAAUAAUUUAUUAAUCAA